UACGGAGGGUGCAAGCGUUGUCCGGAUUUAUUGGGUUUAAAGGGCGCGUAGGCGGUCUUUUAAGUCAGUGGUGAAAUCCUCCAGCUUAACUGGAGAACUGCCAUUGAUACUGGAAGACUUGAGUACAGACGAGGUAGGCGGAAUUGACAGUGUAGCGGUGAAAUGCAUAGAUAUUGUCAAGAACACCGAUUGCGAAGGCAGCUUACUAGACUGUAACUGACGCUGAGGCACGAAAGUGUGGGGAUCAAACAGG
rnacentral:rRNA from 1 species